GCCAAACGCAAGGGGUGUGGGACAUGGCUUGGAGUCUUGUAGUGCGAGUAAGCGGAUCUAAGGUGUAUUUAGUCUGAGUCAAGACUAGAACAGUCGAUGUACGUUUGGCUUCAAUUCCCAAGAAGAAAUGAAGAUCACCAAGAUCUUUCAUGGCGAAGCGCGCACCCAGUCGCUGAAUGAAAGAAAAGAGACGAAAUGAUACUGAGGCAGGACAGGAGAGAGGUCAACAGCGGCAAGGAUAGGAGACUGACCCAUAUACGUGCGAGGUUUGGAACCCAACAAGCGAGAAACUUUACUUAGUUUAGGAACUCGUCCAUCCACGGGGCACCUUUCAUAGUGAGGGAACUCCUCUGUUUUUAGCUUGAUGAGCGACUUACUUUAGUUUCCGAAAAACGCAUAAACCCCGGGAUUUUCGUAAAAGAGGGACUUGAGUGACUCGCCCUAAUCAAAAAGCGGGAGAGGGGCGAAGAAACUCGAUCGGUUACUAGAGACGAGCAAGGGCCAGGGACGCACUCAACGAGCAGACGAGGGACGAGUGGUAAGAGACGACAAAUAGUAGUGCCGGUUCAGUGAAGUCAAGUCUUUACGUCUAUAGGGGCUCCCCGACGAUCCCGAACCUUCAAAAAGUGAGGGGUAUGUGUUGUUUCUUGGCACUCUCUUUCUUUGUUAUGCCAACCUAAAAAGAGAUAGGGAUACGGGGCUUGACUUGAAAACAAACAACUGGCGCUGCCCCCCGCGGAUAGGGCACUUUUUGCCCUUAAGUCCAGGAUACGCAAAAAAUUCCUCCAGAACGAUUGAGAGUGGAUUUCUGGUUCGAUAGUGUCGAGAAGGUGGAGGGCCACCGGUGACCGUGCUUUCGUAAAAGCACCAUUGGGUGGUGGUUCCUCUCUUUUCUCUUGAACCCCGAACAAAAAAAAGAUCUCGCCAUCAGCUCGACUAAGAGUUCCGAAUCUAAAAAGUAAACUGAACUUGACUUAAGACGAAGGAACCGAGUGCCAAAAAAAACCGGUUUCUUAAGGCUUCAAACUACUAGUCAUUAAGACUACUAUGAAAGAAAAGCAAGGAAGUCCCUUUCUUGACUUGGCCUGCGUGCAUUAUACCUACACCCUUUUAAAAGAACUUUAUUUCAAUUUCAACAAAGCAAAGAAACGAAAGCAUAACUCUUUGCUUGUUGUCCUCUUACUCUUUUAGCCUGCCUUGUGGGGGUCCCCCGGGUGUCUACGGCGGAUCCGAUCGGUCUCGUGAUGAAGAGAAAUCUUUUCCGAUCUUCCACUAAGAAAUAAGAAAGGUAUCGUCACGACAACUAAAUUUGCCCGGUAAACUACUCCGGGGCUCCCCGUGGUUUAGUAAAAAGGAGGGGAGAUUUUAUCUGGGUCAUUUCAUUCAUUAUGAACUUAAAAGUGUAAGGCCGAUUAGUGAGGUCUUAAAAACUUCAUACAAUGAAUGAUCGGCAAUUCUAUUUGUGCUUUCAGCAAGUAGGCGACGCGAAUCUAUGGUUUUUAUCAAUCGGAUACCAUACCAAUUGUUUGGAUGCGUUUGAAAGCCUCGAGAUGACUUGCAGAAAU